GACGAACGCUGGCGGCGUGCUUAACACAUGCAAGUCGAACGGAAAGGCCCUGCUUUUGUGGGGUGCUUGAGUGGCGAACGGGUGAGUAGCACGUGAGUAACCUGCCCUUGACUUUGGGAUAACUUCAGGAAACUGGGGCUAAUACCGGAUAGGAGCUCCUGCUGCAUGGUGGGGGUUGGAAAGUUUCGGCGGUUGGGGAUGGACUCGCGGCUUAUCAGCUUGUUGGUGGGGUAGUGGCUUACCAAGGCUUUGACGGGUAGCCGGCCUGCGAGGGUGACCGGCCACAUUGGGACUGAGAUACGGCCCAGACUCCUACGGGAGGCAGCAGUGGGGAAUAUUGCACAAUGGGCGGAAGCCUGAUGCAGCAACGCCGCGUGCGGGAUGACGGCCUUCGGGUUGUAAACCGCUUUCGCCUGUGACGAAGCGUGAGUGACGGUAAUGGGUAAAGAAGCACCGGCUAACUACGUG
rnacentral:rRNA from 1 species